AUACGUAGGUGACAAGCGUUAUCCGGAUUUACUGGGCGUAAAGGGCGUGUAGGCGGUCUUGCAAGUCAGAAGUGAAAUUCCUGAGCUCAACUCGGGCGCAGCUUCUGAAACUGCAGGACUUGAGUGCUGGAGGGGAUAGCGGAAUUCCUAGUGGAGCGGUAAAAUGCGCAGAUAUUAGGAAGAACACCGGUGGCGAAGGCGGCUAUCUGGACAGUAACUGACGCUGAGGCGCGAAAGCGUGGGGAGCAAACAGGAUUAGAUGCCCUGGUAGUCCACGCCGUAAACGAUGAAUACUAGGUGUAGGGGGUAUCGACUCCCUCUGUGCCGCAGUUAACACAAUAAGUAUUCCGCCUGGGGAGUACGGCCGCAAGGUUGAAACUCAAAUGAAUUGACGGGG
rnacentral:rRNA from 1 species